UUUAAUCUUGGAUCAAAAUCAAUGGCCUUUCUAGCAUUGGGAUUUGGAAGUCCUUGUCGCCCCAAAUGUUUCGUCGGUGACUGUUGGUUGCGAGAGCGACAUCGGACGAGGUUAGGUGACCAUCUGCUAAUCCAAUUGCACUCGUUUAGUUGGUAAUUUGGAUGGUAAGUUGUUUUCUUGAGAACGGCAUCAAUGUACCAGCGAAUGGAUAUAUGCUACAAUGUAGAAGGACACAUCAUUGAAGCAGGGAACCACUCCUAUCAUGUCAAAGCUUGCUUAGUCCAGUGAUCAUCACUAAGCAAGUACGCAGUCUGCAAAUCCUGCAACCAAUAUGGGAAGGUAUGCAUUUUGCAAAGAGCGUUGCUGUACACACGAUAACUUGCUCCCGACGCAUGCACGAUCCUACAUGGCAGCACCACAGUAGUGGCUCUUAACUGUGCAGCGCCGUUGGGAAGGGAGUACACCCGCAGAUCGUGCAGAAAGGCGUCGUGUGUGAAGCAAUUUCGUUUUGCAUAUUUUUUGAUAAAGAGUAUAUAUUAAUAUCGUGAAGAUACCAGCAUAUUUUUUGUUUUGCACAUACCUAUGCAAUUUGUGUUGAUUUUGUGUGUGUGGAAAAUUCAGAAGAUUUUAGAGGACAAAUUUGUGCGCGAGGAUUAGUCCAUGAUCACUGAAACCAUGCCUUAGAAUUUAGGUCUUAUUUUUGUGUAUAUAUGAUUAUUGUAGAACCUAUGGUUCCAAUCAUUGGAUUUUUUGCCCCCUUUAUAUACACGGCGUGGCAAUAUCAUAUUCUUAUGGAUCGAUUUUAUAUUAACUCGAAUCUCUACUUCCACUAAUUUGGAUAGCAGUCAGGGCAUCUUUGGUGUUUUCUAUGUUGUAUCCAAAUGACUGUUUCCGCAGUUUUCCUAAACUAUGUACACCUGUAUUUCUUUAAAUUAUUGUGUUUAUUUUUCUGUUCACGUGGUUUUGUUCCAACGUUCCAAAUAUGCCUACAGGAUUCAGGAUAAAGUGAAAGUCUCUAUGCAGGAUUUCAAAAUAAAUAUGUAGCAUUGAAAUGCCAUGGCUCCAGGUUAAAAAAACUUAGAAAGACGAAGACUUACAAAUCUGCAAAUGAUAACAAAUGAAUAUUUUCAUGAAGCAUUCUGCACUGUCCUGUUAAUUGUCUGCUCAAAAUGGCUUCCCUUUUGCAGCAAUGGAAGCCACUCGCUAAGGCCGUGGACGUCGAUGCCAUAUCCAUGAUUAUCUCCAAGAUCCGUGCCUCGGCCAUUGCCUCUGCCAGCCUUCUGCACUACCCGUGUCCUAGCUGUUCUGUGUGUAAGAAUGCCGGUUUAUCGUGUUGCUACCCUAACUGUGCUUUGUUUGAUGACUUGCCGAUAUGGGUUUACCUAUGAAGUCGAACACAAGUCUUUUCUCUAAAAAAAAGAAGAUAGUAGUAGAAGAAGAAGAAGAAGAAGAAGAAGAAGAAAAUGAUGAACAUCUUAUAGAACUUGUUUGAAAAUUGUUCAGUCUCAAGAAACGGAACUAGGUAGUGGUUGCAUUUUUUGUCAACUUCAAUUCAAUCGGCAUACUUUUGUUCAAACGAGCAGUGGCCUAUGUGUGCUAUAAUUGCCUUUGGAUAAGAUAAAGUAAAAAAGAACGGAGACUUAGAAAUCUACCAUCA
rnacentral:lncRNA from 1 species